rnacentral:lncRNA from 1 species
GUGGGUUUUGGUUUUGCAGCUGUAUCAUGGUGACCUGUUUCUGUUUGCCUGCUCCUACCUAGUUUCCCAGGCUCUCAGAUGAGAUCAUCAUAUGAUGCUUGUUUGAAAAUGGGAGCUCUGAUCUCAGAGUCAAGUCCCCAGCACUGGCUCACUGUAAAAGGGCACAUAACACCAUCAACAUUUCAGGCUCUGGAAAAUGUGUCCAAGACUUCACACAGAAGAUGAAAAAGUGCUGGAACUUUCUCCUCUUGCUAUAUUGGCAAUAUCUUCCUGCAACCAAAGGUCAUUCAUAGUAAAAGCAGGGGCUGGCUGAAUGUGAUGUAUUUAAUAGGUCAAGCUUGCAUUGAAUACAUGAUUCAUUUUGUAAUGAAAGUUAGCCUUUUUAAUUUUUUUCCCCCAUGCUGGCUGAGUGAUGGAGCUGUUUUCUCAUUUGGCUUGUUCCAAUUGAAAGUCCAUUUGUAGAUUUCUCUUCGAGGUUAACAUGUCUAGAGCAUUAAACAUACCCUGCAAACUCCUAUUGUUAAUAAAAUAGCCUGCUUGAUUCCA